GGGAGUGAAGUUAAGCCAGUGCGGGUAUAAACCUUACCCUACCAUUCCUACUAGGCAGGUGCUACUAAACCCUUCCUAGCUGAUGUCAGCACAAAGGGCCAGCAAAAGCUACCACAACCGCGAGGUCGACAAGGACAACCCACCGAGAAGCCCCGAAGCCAGCACCCCACACCGCCCGAGCCAGGCCCGGAACGCUAGCGUCACGGGAAGAGCUCUCCGGCUCGGGGCCAGCAACCGGGAGGCAAGGCGGAAGGGAGCCGCAGGCGGAAACGCAGGCCGCCGGACGCCGGGAGCUGCGCCUCACCUACUCCGCGCGCGCGCAGACACGCUCAGUGGCCGGCCAGGUCCGGCCUCUGCAAGCGUGUGGGGGCUCGGGGUCCACUGAGGGAUGGCAGGUCCCGCACGGGUCCCGCAGACCAGCAGCCGACGGCAGUCCAGACCACGAAAAGCGACGGAGGCGCAGGCAGCGCGCAGGAGUCGGGCGCCCGGAGCGGCCG
rnacentral:lncRNA from 1 species